UCUACCUCUCAACUGUUGUCGGAUUGGUAUAAUAUUCACUUUUUUUUUGUCUGAAAAUUUCAUGACUAAUUUGAAUUUGGCUUCGGCUGUUUUGGCCGUCUCUAAUUGUUUUGUAUUAGCUGAGAAAUGCUUGGCGCCAGAGCGGAAUGUUGGCUAAUGGCGCAUGCGCCGCCGGAAUUGGCGUUGAAAUGUAUUCUGUGAAAAAACUUGAUUUAUGGUACAUUCGAAGUUGCGAUUCAUAUGUUACGCUGUGAGGUGGAAACUAGCGCCUGAGUGUCGCUAUGGAAAAUAAAUGUAUUUAAACUGUGGAAUGUGUGUGGAGUUAUUUUAUUACGAUAUACAGCUAUCGACGGGAAAUAGAAUUAAGUCAUUUCAAGUUUUGUGGUCCGUCGAGCCGGAGGAGCUAAUAAAGUUUAUGAGAGUGCGAAUUUACUUUCGGUUUGUGAAAUGAAGAAUUAUAUAGGAUACUUCAAGAUUGAAGUUCUGUAGAAACAAAAGGGGUGCUAAAUUUGUUGGAGAUUUGCUGCCUGGUGGUAAAAUUCGUGCCCAAGAAACACAAAAAAUAUUUUCUUCGCCAAGUUCUUGGGCAAUACAUUGCAAAAAACUCUUAAACCCUGAUAAAAAGUCUGGCUGUGGAUGGUCAUCAGUAUGUAUAUUAUUAACAUUUUGAAAUAAAUAACUUAAUAUGUAUGAAUAAAAUAUGGCUUCAUUUGUUCAAAAACUAA
rnacentral:lncRNA from 1 species